rnacentral:rRNA from 1 species
GACGAACGCUGGCGGCGUGCUUAACACAUGCAAGUCGAACGGUGAAGCGCCUUCCUUUUUGGUUGGUGUGGAUGAGUGGCGAACGGGUGAGUAACACUUGAGUAACCUGCCCCCUUCUUCUGGAUAACCGCAUUAAAGUGUGUCUAAUACGGGAUAUUCUGGGUCUGUCGCAUGGUGGGUCUGUGAAAGAUAUUGUUUCUGUGGGGGCUGGGCUCGCGUCCUAUCAUCUUGUUGGUGGUGUGAUGGCCUACCAAGGCGGUGACGGGUACCCGGCCUGAGAGGGUAGCCGGUCACACUGGGGGUGCGACACGGCCGAGACUGCUACGGGAGGCAGCCGUGGGGAGUAUUGAACAGUGGGCGCAAGUGUGAUGCAGGGACGACGCGUGAGGGAUGGCGGCCUUCGGGUUGUGAACCUCUUUCGCUAGUGAAGCAGGCCUGCCUCGUUUGUGGGUGGGUUGACGGUAGCUGGAUAAGAAGCGCCGGCUAACUACGUG